rnacentral:lncRNA from 1 species
AUGCUGUAUUUUAGGGUGCUGAUGACAGGUUGGGUUUCCCUUCAACUGGAAGACGUCUCACGAAGAACAGAAAUUUAUUCCUCACCACUCUUGAGACUGGGAAGGCCCAAAUCAAGGAUCCGGCAUUUUAUCUAGUGAGGGCCUCCAUGCUGCAUCCUCACACAUGGAAGGUGGAGGGUCAGGACAGCUAAACACUGUGUAAAGCCUUUUCGUUUUAUUUAUUUUAUUUUAUUUUUUAUUUUUUAAAUAAAAUAAAUUAAGUAAUUUUUAAAAUAAAAAAAUAAAAUAAAACUCUCUUACUGUGCUGGGAUUACAGGUGUGAGCCACUGUACCUACCCAGAAGCCUCUUUUUCUGAUCUUAAUCUUGAUAUAGUAACUAAGAGAAUUGUUACUUUAGCAGACUCUGAGGAGCAAGUGUGGCAUAGUAAUUAAGUUCAAUGAGUUAUAGAAUCAACAUACUAAAAUUUAAAUUCAGACUUUUUUUUAAGCCAGUUGAAUUUAGCAGAGGGGAAUUGUAUACUAAAUUCUGUCUUUAUCACUUACAAGUUAUGUGAGCUUGGACAAAUUGCUCAAAUUCUAACACUUGGAUUUUUUUUUUUUUCUUUAGAAAGGAAAGAAGAAAAGAAAGAAAAAAAGGAGUGAAGGAGAGGAGGAAAGGAAGACAAAGAGGGAGAGAGAAAGGGAAUAUUGCUUUAUUCUAAAAAUGGGUAUUAAUAAUGGCUGAUCAAUAUUUUGUGUACUUAAAGUGGAGAAUGUAUACUUUGUAUAUUUAAAAUGGAGAGCUCUAUAAAUAUUUAUUAAGUUUACUUGUUCCAGAUCUGAGUUCAAGUCCUGGUUGUCCUCAUCAAUUUUCUGUGUCGCUGAGUCUAAAUCUCUUUAUGGGUCUUAUGUAUCCGGGUGUUAGGAUCGUUAGCUCUUAUUGUUGCCUUGAUCCUUUUACCACUAUAUCUUUGUUGCUUUGAAAUCUAUUUUAUCAGAUACGAGAAUUGCAACUCCUGCUUUUUAUUUUUUUAUUUAUUUUUGCCCUCCAUUUGGUUGGUAAGUCUUUCUCCAUCCCUUUGUUUUGAGUCUUUGUGUAUCUUUGGAUGUGAAAUGGGUCUGGAUGCAGCAUACCAUUAGGUUUUGGCUGUAUCUUUUGAUUGGGGGAUUUAGUCGACUUAAAUUUAGGGUUACUGCCAUUUGAUGUUAACUGGCUAUUUUAUCCAUUC